GCCGGGGCUUCUUCUCCAGGUACCGUCAUCAUCGUCCCUGGUGAAAGAGUUUUACAACCCUAAGGCCUUCUUCACUCACGCGGCAUGGCUGGAUCAGGCUUGCGCCCAUUGUCCAAUAUUCCCC
rnacentral:rRNA from 1 species